CCUGACACUCCACCACAAGUUUUUGUCAUGAACUAAGACUUCUGAACCAUUUGGUAUCUCAAAAGCUCAGCUCUUCACCAGAAGCACUAGAAAGGGGAAGGGAGAAAAUCCCACCUAGCUCUAUCUGAAGAGUGUUGAGCACUUUCAGUGAUACUAGCCAGAGAUGGGCAGUGGUAUAUCAGGUCAACUUCUGACUCCCCUUGCUCUGAGAAUAUAAAACAGAGCACUGAUAAAUCCAGAACCCAUCUCACUUACCAAGCAUCUUACUGAGUGGGAAACAGGGCCAAGCACAUGACUCUAAGGAGCUUGGUAGAGACAACUAGGACACAGUAUCUUGGUUUGGAAGGCACAGUUGUUACUCAGAUCCCUGAAUACAGCCUGCUGCUCUCUACGGAAGGUCCAUGACAGACAUUACCAGUCAGUCACCGAGCUCCUGCAUUCCAUCAAACAUCCCUUAUCACAGACAUGGUUCAGGGAGUCCCUAAAAUGACAUGGAGUUGUACUCAAGGACCAGAACCUCUGUAAUGGACAAAAUCAUCAUUAAAUAUGGUUAUUUCUGGAUGGCACCAACAGUUUAAUAGUUACAGCUGAUUGUGAGGAAAUUUCCAGUUCCAGUGAUAUGCGGCUUUUUCAUUCAACAGAGUUAAAAUCUUGUUCUAAAGAGGACCUAGAGUUCCACAUUAAGAAACAACGGAAUGGGCCAGAGUAUUGAUACUGAUCAAUAAGCUUCAAGAGGUGGGAAGGAAUUAAUGGGCUUAGAGGUCCUUGGAGACUCUCCCUAAAUCAAGUGCACAGGUAUCUGCAGCAGCAGUUUUUUAUUCUCUGUGUGCCUGUGCCUUUCACUAUUUCUUGUUUUAAACCCAUGGUUCCAUCUAGAGAAAAAGACUGCCUUAUAUAUUGUACAUUUGUUGCACUCUCUUUGACAUGCCAUUUUUGGGGUCAUCAAAUAAAACUCUC
ensembl:lncRNA